rnacentral:misc_RNA from 1 species
UGGGAGGAAGUUUUUGGAGGUAAAUGGGUACUUAAAUACCAUACUUGUUUGGGAGGAAGGUUCUCUAAAGGAGGUAAAGUUUUUGAAAGUUUCAAAAUCUCCAAAAUCCUCAUUUUUUCUACCUACCAAAUUAGUGGGUCGAGGAAGUUUUGCCAUCUUACCUUCCAUUUUCUUACCUUACCUUAUAAAACCUUACCCCACUCCAUCCAAACACACUAGUCACUGGAAUUUAGGUGGCGUUCGGUACUACUAUUUAAUUUAGCUAUAAAAAUGGUUAUUAAAUUAAAUUUAACAUGUUCUAGUG